UUUUCUCUUAUUUUUUUCACUUGCUUCUCCAUGCAAUGUCCAUGGUCAUUUUUGUCUGUAUGAUGGACCCAAGGUGGAAGUGACAGAGAAUAUGUGCACAGAGAACAUGAUGAUGUCUUAUUGAUUAUGUAUUUAUGUAUACUGCAUGGGUUGUCGUUAAAUCAAUCCCUGUGAUGACUUGUGUGAAGAGAGAUAAUGGUGUCCAAUCAGAAGUAACAUGAAGGCUCAUCAAGAAUGGGAGAUGUGGCAAGAUUAUGUGACUCACAGACGGAAGCUAUAUAUGUCGGUGCCUCGACCCCCCCACACUAUGUUGCUUCACUGUCUCUGCUCAGCUCGUGGAGGAGCUUCUGGUCUUCAAGCGAUCGAGGGGAUGUGCCUAUGUUGACCUCAAGGACAGGUAAAUGUUCCUCGCCGAGGAGGACCACGCUGCCUCUCACAGGAGCCUCACCAUGCAAGCCGUGGUGCUAUGAGGAGAAUCGUGUCGGCAAUCUUUUCUACACUCUCUGAGUUCCUUAUUUAUUCAUGGAAAUGGUUCAAAGUAAGGAGCAUUGGUCGUUGAUUUGUCCCAGCGAAGUUCCAGGAAACAAUCAACCAAGUCUAAAUUGAGAAACUAAGGGGCUUAAUACAAGACCAGCCACAUGAGAGGGGCUACAGAAAGGUGGAGGCUGUGACACAUCUGUUGCGAUAUUGUCGUCCUUCCUGUGCCGGCAACUCGCGGAGAAACGUAGUGUGAAACGGUAGGAGGCACUGAUGUCCAACCACUCAGGCAAGGCGAUGAAUAGAAAAAUAUUUUCCAUAUUGCUCACUUCCUACAUUCUUUUGUUAGAAAUUAACUACACUUUGGAUAUAUGAGGAAAACUCUUGAUGUUUGCAGUAAUUUAAUUCUUUUGCAAGUCGCUAUCUUGUUACUCUUCUGCUAUGCAGUGUGUCAGCUUCAUUACUAGAUCUGAUAAAAUAAAAAUCAUGUCCUUUUCAAAUCAAUAUUCUUGGUGGUCCACAAUUACUAUAUAGAUUUAAGACGAGGAUAUUCUUCUGGUCAAGGAUUUGGUGUUGUUAGUUUCUUGUUUCCUCACAUUCUCUUCACCAAUAGUGUCUAAAAUUAAAAACAUACAUUAUGUAAUUUGUGUCUUUAGUUCAUAUGUUGGGCUACAUUCAACCGUCUUUACCAAUUUGAAUGCAUGAAUGUGGAGUCGGCCAGUCAGGUACUUCAUUAUGUGUAUCUCUCCCAACCGACCGAUAGAAAUUUGAAGGUUUGGACGUCCCUAACAUAAGCUUAUCUACACUAACCUUUUUGAGAUAAUACUACUGAAUAGCAUGCAUGUUGUUUUUGUUUGCCUGUAUUGUUGUGCUUGAUACAAAUAAUUUUCAUGGACUCGGUUAUGACUGAUGACAUAGAACAACCAAGAUGAUUGAUGUGCUUCUUAGGAUAAUAGGCUAGAAAUUUAUAUUCUCAUUUUGUAUUACACAUGGUAUCUGGUUAAAGAUUGUAACCAUCUGUUUGGUAUUGUAAUCAGCAAGCCUUUCGAGGGGAUGGGGCGCGCCAAGUGGAUGAUGUACAGUGCCAGCUCUAUCCAGAUUUAGUCAACAUAUUUCAUGUUAUGCACUAUGAAGAUUGGUAGUGUCACUGAUUUGGGGUUUAGUCGACAUGUUUGAGGUUAUGUACUAUGAAAACAAGUUCAAGAUAAUACAAAGGAAGAGUACCUUUCUUUGCCCACUCGCGCGUCUACCGCGGAGUGAAAUGCACCAACAGUCCUGGAAGUCACAGGCGAUGUCUGAAACUGUCCCUAAACUUAGAAAGUGUACCAAUAUAGUUCUGAAAGUUGUU